CGGCGUGCUUAACACAUGCAAGUCGAACGGGAAUUACUUUAUUGAAACUUCGGUCGAUUUAAUUUAAUUCUAGUGGCGGACGGGUGAGUAACGCGUGGGUAACCUGCCUUAUACAGGGGGAUAACAGUCAGAAAUGGCUGCUAAUACCGCAUAAGCGCACAGAGCUGCAUGGCUCAGUGUGAAAAACUCCGGUGGUAUAAGAUGGACCCGCGUUGGAUUAGCUUGUUGGUGGGGUAACGGCCCACCAAGGCGACGAUCCAUAGCCGGCCUGAGAGGGUGAACGGCCACAUUGGGACUGAGACACGGCCCAGACUCCUACGGGAGGCAGCAGUGGGGAAUAUUGCACAAUGGGGGAAACCCUGAUGCAGCGACGCCGCGUGAAGGAAGAAGUAUCUCGGUAUGUAAACUUCUAUCAGCAGGGAAGAUAGUGACGGUACCUGACUAAGAAGCCCCGGCUAACUACGUGCCAGCAGCCGCGGUAAUACGUAGGGGGCAAGCGUUAUCCGGAUUUACUGGGUGUAAAGGGAGCGUAGACGGUGUGGCAAGUCUGAUGUGAAAGGCAUGGGCUCAACCUGUGGACUGCAUUGGAAACUGUCAUACUUGAGUGCCGGAGGGGUAAGCGGAAUUCCUAGUGUAGCGGUGAAAUGCGUAGAUAUUAGGAGGAACACCAGUGGCGAAGGCGGCUUACUGGACGGUAACUGACGUUGAGGCUCGAAAGCGUGGGGAGCAAACAG
rnacentral:rRNA from 1 species